CAUGGCUCAGGAUGAACGCUAGCUACAGGCUUAACCCUUGCAAGUCGAGGGGAAACGACAUCGAAAGCUUGCUUUUGAUGGGCGUCGACCGGCGCACGGGUGAGUAACGCGUAUCCAACCUGCCCACCACUUGGGGAUAACCUUGCGAAAGUAAGACUAAUACCCAAUGACGUCUCUAGAAGACAUCUGAAAGAGAUUAAAGAUUUAUCGGUGAUGGAUGGGGAUGCGUCUGAUUAGCUUGUUGGCGGGGUAACGACCCACCAAGGCUACGAUCAGUAGGGGUUCUGAGAGGAAGGUCCCCCACAUUGGAACUGAGACACGGUCCAAACUCCUACGGGAGGCAGCAGUGAGGAAUAUUGGUCAAUGGACGAGAGUCUGAACCAGCCAAGUAGCGUGCAGGAUGACGGCCCUAUGGGUUGUAAACUGCUUUUAUAAGGGAAUAAAGUGAGUCUCGUGAGGCUUUUUGCAUGUACCUUAUGAAUAAGGACCGGCUAAUUCCGUGCCAGCAGCCGCGGUAAUACGGAAGGUCCGGGCGUUAUCCGGAUUUAUUGGGUUUAAAGGGAGCGUAGGCCGGAGAUUAAGCGUGUUGUGAAAUGUAGACGCUCAACGUCUGCACUGCAGCGCGAACUGGUUUCCUUGAGUACGCACAAAGUGGGCGGAAUUCGUGGUGUAGCGGUGAAAUGCUUAGAUAUCACGAAGAACUCCGAUUGCGAAGGCAGCUCACUGGAGCGCAACUGACGCUGAAGCUCGAAAGUGCGGGUAUCGAACAGGAUUAGAUACCCUGGUAGUCCGCACGGUAAACGAUGGAUGCCCGCUGUUGGUCUGAAUAGGUCAG
rnacentral:rRNA from 1 species